AGAGAUCAAGCUAUAUAGUAUAAGGUGAAAAGGCAGUUAAAUAUUAAUUAAGCCAUAGCUUAAAAAUUGUUUGUACAAAAGUAAAAUUUAAAUAUAAAUUAAUGUUUCAAUAAAAGUUAAUUAUAUUGACUCUGCGAUACCCAUGAGGGAAACUGGGAUUAGAUACCCCACUAUUCUUGGAUGUAAAUAAACAAUAAGUUUACCAGAGCACUACGAAUUGCACCCCAAAAUUUAAAACUCAAAGAGCUUGGCGGUGUUUUAGACCUUUCAGGGGAACCUGUCUCGUAAUCGACAAUCCGCGCAAUACCUAACCUUUUUUUGCAAUACAGUUUGUAUACCGUCGUCGUCAGGUAACUUUUUAGAAAAGAAAAGUUGGCAAUAAAGCUAUAAUUAAGCUAAUACGUCAGAUCAAGGUGCAGCCUAUAUAAAGGUGAGGAUGGGUUACAAUUAAGACUUAUAAUUACGAACUAAAUAAUGAAAAAUUGUUUCAUCGAAGGAGGACUUGAAAGUAAAAUAAACUAUCUAAAUGGCUUGAAUAAGGCUCUGAAACAUGC
rnacentral:rRNA from 1 species